rnacentral:rRNA from 1 species
AACAGCUCAAAUUUGAAAUCUGGCCCUUUCGGGGUCCGAGUUGUAAUUUGUAGAGAGUGCUUCGGGGGAGAUGGCGGUCUAAGUCCAUUGGAACAUGGUGUCAGAGAGGGUGAGAAUCCCGUACGUGACCGCGGAUCGAACCCGUGUGAAGCCUCUUCGACGAGUCGAGUUGUUUGGGAAUGCAGCUCAAAAUGGGUGGUAAAUUUCAUCUAAAGCUAAAUACUGGCUGGAGACCGAUAGCGCACAAGUAGAGUGAUCGAAAGAUGAAAAGCACUUUGGAAAGAGAGUUAAACAGUACGUGAAAUUGUUGAAAGGGAAGCGCUGGCAACCAGACCUGCCCGUGGGCGAUCAACCGCUGUUCUCAGCGGUGCACUCGUUCUGCGAUCAGGCCAGCAUCGGUUUCGGCGGUCGGAUAAAGGCCUUGGGAAUGUAGCUUCCUUUCGGGGGAGUCUUAUAGCCCUCGGUGCAAUGCGGCCAGCCGGGACCGAGGACCGCGCUUCGGCUAGGAUGCUGGCGUAAUGGUUGUCAGCGACC